rnacentral:rRNA from 1 species
AUUGAACGCUGGCGGCAGGCUUAACACAUGCAAGUCGAGCGGAGAUGAGGUGCUUGCACCUUAUCUUAGCGGCGGACGGGUGAGUAAUGCUUAGGAAUCUGCCUAUUAGUGGGGGACAACAUUCCGAAAGGAAUGCUAAUACCGCAUACGUCCUACGGGAGAAAGCAGGGGAUCUUCGGACCUUGCGCUAAUAGAUGAGCCUAAGUCGGAUUAGUUAGUUGGGGGGGUAAAGGCCUACCAAGGCGACGAUCUGUAGCGGGUCUGAGAGGAUGAUCCGCCACACUGGGACUGAGACACGGCCCAGACUCCUACGGGAGGCAGCAGUGGGGAAUAUUGGACAAUGGGGGGAACCCUGAUCCAGCCAUGCCGCGUGUGUGAAGAAGGCCUUAUGGUUGUAAAGCACUUUAAGCGAGGAGGAGGCUACUGAGACUAAUACUCUUGGAUAGUGGACGUUACUCGCAGAAUAAGCACCGGCUAACUCUGUGCCAGCCGCCGCCGUAAGAC